UACGUAGGGUGCAAGCGUUGUCCGGAAUUAUUGGGCGUAAAGAGCUCGUAGGCGGCUUGUCGCGUCGACCGUGAAAACUUGGGGCUCAACCCCAAGCCUGCGGUCGAUACGGGCAGGCUCGAGUUCGGUAGGGGAGACUGGAAUUCCUGGUGUAGCGGUGAAAUGCGCAGAUAUCAGGAGGAACACCGAUGGCGAAGGCAGCUCGCUGGGACGGUACUGACGCUGAGACGCGAAAGCGUGGGGAGCGAACAGG
rnacentral:rRNA from 1 species